CCUACGGGAGGCAGCAGUGGGGAAUAUUGCACAAUGGGCGCAAGCCUGAAGCAGCGAAGCCGCGUGAGUGAUGAAGUAAUUCGUUAUGUAAAGCCUCAUCAGUAGGGGAGAAAAUGACGGUACCUGUGUAAGAAGCCCCGUAUCACUACGUGCCAGCAGCAGUGGUAACACGUAGGGGGCAAGCGUUAUCCGGAUUUUCUGGGUGUUAAGGGAGCGUAGUCGGCAGUGCAAGUCUGGAGUGAAAGGCGGGGGCUCAACCCCCGGACUGCUCUGGAAACCGUACGGCUGGAGUGCGGGAGAGGUAAGCGGAAUGCGUGGUGUAGCGGUGAAAUGCGUAGAUAUCAGGAGGAACACCAGUGGCGAAGGCAGCUUACUGAACUGUAACUGACGUUGAGGCUCGAAAGCGUGGGGAGCGAACAGGAUUAGAUACCCCAGUAGUC
rnacentral:rRNA from 1 species